UCGGGAAUUUUGGGCAAUGGGCGAAAGCCUGACCCAGCAACGCCGCGUGAAGGAUGAAAUCCUUCGGGAUGUAAACUUCGCAAGAACAGGAAGAAUAAGUAAGGGUUAAUAUCUCUUACGAUGACGGUACUGUUUGUAAGCUCCGGCUAACUCCGUGCCAGCGGCCGCGGUAAUACGGGGGGAGCAAGCGUUGUUCGGAUUUACUGGGCGUAAAGGGCGCGUAGGCGGCCACCGCAAGUCGACUGUGAAAUCUCCGGGCUUAACCCGGAAAGGUCAGCCGAUACUGCGGGGCUAGAGUGCAGAAGGGGCAACUGGAAUUCUCGGUGUAGCGGUGAAAUGCGUAGAUAUCGAGAGGAACACCAGUGGCGAAGGCGGCUCACUGGCCCGGUACUGACGCUGAGGUGCGAAAGCGUGGGGAGCAAACAGGAUUAGAUACCCUGGUAGUCCACGCCGUAAACGAUGGAGGCUAGCCGUUGGCGGGUUUACCCGUCAGUGGCGCAGCUAACGCUUUAAGCAUCCCGCCUGGGGAGUACGGUCGCAAGAUUAC
rnacentral:rRNA from 1 species